rnacentral:lncRNA from 1 species
CUGCUUUAUCUACUUCAGAUAUGGCUAAAAUGAUAUCAUAUUUGCAAACUCAAAUGCAGGUGUCCUCUUCUCCAGCACCUGCACAGCAGAUCUCUGCUCCUACCAAAGCUGAUGUCUACAAUUUUGGAGGUGUUUCUCCUUCAGUUAUUGCCUCUCCUCCAUUCAGUGGUACUAUUUCUCUCCAACCCCUUGUUUGUUCUACUUUGAGUUCCUGCCUAUGGUUACUGGACACAGGUGCUACACACCAUGUCUGUAACAAUUCCACACUUUUUAUUGAUUGUUCACCAGCCAAAAACCUCAUGUUAGUUGCCGAAUGGUAGUAAUGCUGAAGUUCUUGCAUUGGCACUAUAGUUAUCUCUUCCACUCUUAAGCUUACAUCUGUAUUGUGUGUACCUUCCUUUUUACACCUUAUCUCUGUCAGUCUCUCUCACUACUUCCUCUAACUGUUCAGUUCUCUUCACACAUAAUGCUUUUGUGAUUCAGGGAGCUUUACAGGGGACGUGUGAUUGGGAAGGGUAGCAAAAUGGGCAACCUAUAUGUCUUAGAAGCAUCACC